GUAUUGGAAUUACAGAUUCUUAACACUAUUGUGAGAAGUGAGUGAGGACUUAGAUAAACAGAAUGAAUGUGUGAUAAGUCAGGCACCCUCAUCCUCUUCUCUGCAUCCUGCAGGGAACCUUACCCUGCCGGGUACAGCAAAGGAAAAUUCACUGGAUUUCUUGGGGAGAAGGACGAUGAAAACUCAUCUUCAGAAAGUGUUUCACCUGGCUUGGUUUUAAGGGAAGAUAGAAAAACAAGAACCCCACGCCCUGGACCCCAACACUUGCAGACAUAUCCGAGAUGUUGGUCUUUCUCCCCUGAGACCUGCUUCCAGCAUGCUACCAGGGUGACUUCGGCUUAGAUGCAACUGGAUUUCUUUUAAAGAGUAUUUCCUCUUUAGUUCCACUAUCAGGAUUGACCGUGUUUAUUAGGCUUACAAGGGGCUGAAAAUGGCAUCUCCAGUAAUCACUAAAUACUAGUGG